rnacentral:rRNA from 1 species
GAGUUUGAUCCUGGCUCAGAGCGAACGCUGGCGGCAGGCCUAACACAUGCAAGUCGAGCGGCCGUAGCAAUACGGCAGCGGCAGACGGGAGAGUAACACGUGGGAACGCGCCCUUCGGUUCGGAAUAACUCAGGGAAACUUGAGCUAAUACCGGAUACGCCCUUACGGGGAAAGAUUUAUUGCCGAAGGAACGGCCCGCGUCCGAUUAGCUAGUUGGUGAGGUAAUGGCUCACCAAGGCGACGAUCGGUAGCUGGUCUGAGAGGAUGACCAGCCUCACUGGGACUGAGACACGGCCCAGACUCCUACGGGAGGCAGCAGUGAGGAAUCUUCCGCAAUGGGCGAAAGCCUGACGGAGCGACGCCGCGUGUGGGAUGAAGUCUUUCGGGAUGUAAACCACUGUCGGAGGGGAAGACAAAAAAGACGGUACCCUCCAAGAAAGCCCCGGCUAACUACGUGCCAGCAGCCGCGGUAAUACGUAGGGGGCAAGCGUUAUCCAGAUUUACUGGGCGUAAAGCGCGUGUAGGCGGCUGGUUAGGUGUGAUGUGAAAUCUUCCGGCUCAACCGGAAAACUGCAUUGCAAACCGGCCUGGCUAGAGUGCAGGAGAGGGAAGCGGAAUUCCAGGUGUAGCGGUGAAAUGCGUGGAUAUCUGGAGGAACACCAGUGGCGAAGGCGGCUUCCUGGCCUGCAACUGACGCUGAGACGCGAAAGCGUGGGGAGCGAACCGGAUUAGAUACCCGGGUAGUCCACGCCCUAAACGUUGUGAACUAGGUGUUGGUCGGAUUGACCCGAUCAGUGCCGCAGCUAACGCAUUAAGUUCACCGCCUGGGGACUACGGCCGCAAGGUUAAAACUCAAAGGAAUAGGCGGGGGCCCGCACAAGCAGCGGAGCGUGUGGUUUAAUUCGAGGCGACGCGAAGAACCUUACCUGGGCUUGACAUGUACGGAAUUUCCCAGAGAUGGGAAAGUGCCCGAAAGGGAACCGUAACACAGGUGCUGCAUGGCUGUCGUCAGCUCGUGUCGUGAGAUGUUGGGUUAAGUCCCGCAACGAGCGCAACCCUUGUCGUUAAUUGCCAUCAUUUAGUUGGGCACUUUAACGAGACUGCCGGUGACAAACCGGAGGAAGGUGGGGAUGACGUCAAGUCAGCAUGGCCUUUAUGUCUGGGGCUACACACGUGCUACAAUGGCCGGUACAAACCGUCGCAAAACCGUAAGGUCGAGCUAAUCGGAGAAAGCCGGUCUCAGUUCGGAUCGUCGGCUGCAACUCGCCGGCGAGAAGUUGGAAUCGCUAGUAAUCCGGAUCAGCACGCCGCGGUGAAUACGUUCCCGGGCCUUGCACACAC